rnacentral:rRNA from 1 species
CUACGGGGGGCAGCAGUCGAGAAUCUUCGGCAAUGGACGCAAGUCCGACCGAGCGACGCCGCGUGCGGGAUGAAGGCCUUCGGGUUGUAAACCGCUGUCAGAGGGGAGGAAAUGCAUGGGGGCUAUCCCCUGUGUUUGACCUAUCCUCAGAGGAAGUACGGGCUAAGUGUCGUGCCAGCAGCCGCGGUAACACGAACCGUACGAACGUUAUUCGGAAUCACUGGGCGUAAAGGGUGCGUAGGCGGCCUUGCAAGUUGGGUGUGAAAUCCCUCGGCUCAACCGAGGAACUGCGCUCAAAACUGCAAGGCUUGAGGGAGACAGAGGUGAGCGGAACUCAUGGUGGAGCGGUGAAAUGCGUUGAUAUCAUUAGGAACACCGGUGGCGAAGGCGGCUCACUGGGUCUCUUCUGACGCUGAGGCACGAAAGCUAGGGUAGCGAACGGGAUUAGAUACCCCCGUAGUC